ACGAAGAAAAUCUCAGUACUCAGUGGCAUGAUAGAUGAAUUAUGUAAGGGGUGUGUCGUAUUAAUUUGCAUUGUUAAAGUUGUGAGAAUAUAAUGUGUUGUAUUAAUUAAGCAAGAAUCGAAUACUACAACUGCAAGAUAUAACGUAUGAAUGUAUAACCAAUGAAUUGCAUCCAAUUAUCAAUGGUUAAAACUUGACUCAUCAGAUUAUUGAACUUGUACAAAUUUAAAGGUGAUGCAUAAAUACCAAUGUCCUGAAUGAUAUUGAAGAAAUGAAUUAUUUUCUCGUUUUUUGUACCUCUCAUAGAGUUUAAUUCCCCCUUGGUAAUCAAAGAUUUGGUAUAAAACGUCGCGUUUAUUCCUCAAAGUUAUCAGUUCAAUUUGUAAAUUGCAACUAAAUAACAACAAUGAAAUUCUUUGCCUUCAUCACGAUGUUCGUGUGUGCCAUGUUGGCUCUGGCCAGCGGUGCAGGUGUGGUCAGACAGGUGCGCAGCCCUGUGCCCAUUGAUGAUGCAGCACCUAGCCCUCAUCAUCACCAUCACUACCACCAUCACCACUACGGAUACGGCUACGGAUACCACUGAUGUGGAAUUGAUUGGCUUCUGAUUUAUUAAAAGUGUAUUGUUUAGUAUGUGGUAUAAUAAUAAAAUAUUUUGUAGUUAA